rnacentral:tRNA from 2 species
GGAGAGAUGGCCGAGUGGCCGAAGGCGGCGGUUUGCUAAACCGUUAUAUGGGUCAUGCCGUAUCGAGGGUUCGAAUCCCUCUCUCUCCGCCA